rnacentral:sRNA from 1 species
UCACCGGCAAAAUCCGGUGACUGGGUUUGGUACCCCAGAUUACUACCGUACGACAUAUAAAUGUCAGCUUCGUGCUGAUUUUUU